CGAACGGUAGCACAGAGAGCUUGCUCUCGGGUGACGAGUGGCGGACGGGUGAGUAAUGUCUGGGAAACUGCCUGAUGGAGGGGGAUAACUACUGGAAACGGUAGCUAAUACCGCAUAACGUCGCAAGACCAAAGAGGGGGACCUUCGGGCCUCUUGCCAUCAGAUGUGCCCAGAUGGGAUUAGCUAGUAGGUGGGGUAACGGCUCACCUAGGCGACGAUCCCUAGCUGGUCUGAGAGGAUGACCAGCCACACUGGAACUGAGACACGGUCCAGACUCCUACGGGAGGCAGCAGUGGGGAAUAUUGCACAAUGGGCGCAAGCCUGAUGCAGCCAUGCCGCGUGUAUGAAGAAGGCCUUCGGGUUGUAAAGUACUUUCAGCGGGGAGGAAGGUGUUGUGGUUAAUAACCGCAGCAAUUGACGUUACCCGCAGAAGAAGCACCGGCUAACUCCGUGCCAGCAGCCGCGGUAAUACGGAGGGUGCAAGCGUUAAUCGGAAUUACUGGGCGUAAAGCGCACGCAGGCGGUCUGUCAAGUCGGAUGUGAAAUCCCCGGGCUCAACCUGGGAACUGCAUUCGAAACUGGCAGGCUAGAGUCUUGUAGAGGGGGGUAGAAUUCCAGGUGUAGCGGUGAAAUGCGUAGAGAUCUGGAGGAAUACCGGUGGCGAAGGCGGCCCCCUGGACAAAGACUGACGCUCAGGUGCGAAAGCGUGGGGAGCAAACAGG
rnacentral:rRNA from 1 species